rnacentral:rRNA from 1 species
UGUAUAAUGGGUCAGCGACUUAUAUUCUGUAGCAAGGUUAACCGAAUAGGGGAGCCGAAGGGAAACCGAGUCUUAACUGGGCGUUAAGUUGCAGGGUAUAGACCCGAAACCCGGUGAUCUAGCCAUGGGCAGGUUGAAGGUUGGGUAACACUAACUGGAGGACCGAACCGACUAAUGUUGAAAAAUUAGCGGAUGACUUGUGGCUGGGGGUGAAAGGCCAAUCAAACCGGGAGAUAGCUGGUUCUCCCCGAAAGCUAUUUAGGUAGCGCCUCGUGAAUUCAUCUCCGGGGGUAGAGCACUGUUUCGGCAAGGGGGUCAUCCCGACUUACCAACCCGAUGCAAACUGCGAAUACCGGAGAAUGUUAUCACGGGAGACACACGGCGGGUGCUAACGUCCGUCGUGAAGAGGGAAACAACCCAGACCGCCAGCUAAGGUCCCAAAGUCAUGGUUAAGUGGGAAACGAUGUGGGAAGGCCCAGACAGCCAGGAUGUUGGCUUAGAAGCAGCCAUCAUUUAAAGAAAGCGUAAUAGCUCACUGGUCGAGUCGGCCUGCGCGGAAGAUGUAACGGGGCUAAACCAUGCACCGAAGCUGCGGCAGCGACACUAUGUGUUGUUGGGUAGGGGAGCGUUCUGUAAGCCUGUGAAGGUGGCCUGUGAGGGUUGCUGGAGGUAUCAGAAGUGCGAAUGCUGACAUAAGUAACGAUAAAGCGGGUGAAAAGCCCGCUCGCCGGAAGACCAAGGG